rnacentral:tRNA from 1 species
AUCCAUGACUAAAGGGUUAAAGAGCCCAACUCAUAAUUGGCGAAUUCGUAAGUUCAAUUCCUACUGGAU